UACGGAGGUGGCAAGCGUUGUUCGGAUUUAUUGGGUGUAAGGGGCAUGUAGGCGGCUUAAUAAGUCGAAUGUGAAAUCCCGCAGCUCAACUGCGGAACUGCAUUCGAAACUGUUUUGCUGGAGUACGAGAGGGGGGAUGGGAAUUCCCGGUGUAAGGGUGAAAUCUGUAGAUAUCGGGAGGAACACCGAUGGCGAAAGCAGAUCCCUGGCUCGAUACUGACGCUGAAAUGCGAAAGCUAGGGGAGCAAACAGG
rnacentral:rRNA from 1 species